AUGGUGUGGUCAGUGGAAUUCUGGUGUUUGUGGGAAAUCUGCAGGAACAUCUCCCAGCAUUCUACAACGAUGUUGCCCUGAUGAUUGAGGACAAUUGCUUGUGGCAGCUGUCUUCUCUGAACAGCAGUCUCGUGAACACCGUACUGUUUCGGCCUCAGUACACUGAAGAUCUAAGAAAACACUUCACACCCCACAACCCC